UACAGAGGUCCCGAGCGUUGUUCGGAUUCAUUGGGCGUAAAGGGUGCGUAGGUGGCGCUGUAAGUGGGGUGUGAAAUCCCGGGGCUUAACCCCGGGACUGCAUUCCAUACUGCGGUGCUUGAGGACUGGAGAGGAGACUGGAAUUUACGGUGUAGCAGUGAAAUGCGUAGAGAUCGUAAGGAAGACCAGUGGCGAAGGCGGGUCUCUGGGCCGAAACUGACGCUGAGGAGCGAAAGCGUGGGGAGCAAACAGG
rnacentral:rRNA from 1 species